UACGGAGGGGGCUAGCGUUGUUCGGAAUUACUGGGCGUAAAGCGCGCGUAGGCGGCUUUGUACGUUAGAGGUGAAAGCCCGGAGCUUAACUCCGGAACUGCCUUUAAGACUGCAUCGCUAGAAUUGUGGAGAGGUAAGUGGAAUUCCGAGUGUAGAGGUGAAAUUCGUAGAUAUUCGGAAGAACACCAGUGGCGAAGGCGGCUCACUGGACCGGUACUGACGCUGAUGCGCGAAAGCGUGGGGAGCAAACAGG
rnacentral:rRNA from 1 species